rnacentral:rRNA from 1 species
CAGGCCUAACACAUGCAAGUCGAGGGGCAUCGGGAUUGUGGUUUACCACAGUUGCCGGCGACCGGCGCACGGGUGCGUAACGCGUAUCGAACCUGCCCAUUACUCCGGGAUAGCCUUGCGAAAGCAAGUUUAAUACCGGAUGUUCUCAAUUCGGCACCUGCUGUAUUGAGCAAAGAUUUAUCGGUAAUGGAUGGCGAUGCGUCCGAUUAGGUAGCAGGCGGGGUAACGGCCCACCUGGCCUACGAUCGGUAGGGGUUCUGAGAGGAAGGUCCCCCACACUGGAACUGAGACACGGUCCAGACUCCUACGGGAGGCAGCAGUGAGGAAUAUUGGUCAAUGGGCGGAAGCCUGAACCAGCCAAGUCGCGUGAGGGAAGACGGUCCUAUGGAUUGUAAACCUCUUUUGCAGGGGAGCAAAGCCGGUCUCGUGAGGCCGGAAGGAGAGUACCCUGAGAAAAAGCAUCGGCUAACUCCGUGCCAGCAGCCGCGGUAAUACGGAGGAUGCGAGCGUUAUCCGGAUUUAUUGGGUUUAGCACGCGCGGAGCGCCAAGUCACGSGGCUCAACAAAUGCGGGGCUCAACCCCGUCACGGCSGUUGAAACUGACGCCCUUGAGUGAGCGAAAAGUAUGCGGAAUGCGUCGGUGUAGCGGUGAAAUGCAUAGAUAUCACGCAGAACUCCGAUUGCGAAGGCAGCAUACCGGCGCUCAACUGACGCUCAGGCACGAAAGCGUGGGUAUCAAACAGGCUUAGAUACCCUGGUAGUCCACGCAGUAAACGAUGAAUGCUAACUGUCCGGGGCGAUUAAGUCCUGGGUGGUACAGCGAAAGCGUUAAGCAUUCCACCUGGGGAGUACGCCGGCAACGGUGAAACUCAAAGGAAUUGACGGGGGCCCGCACAAGCGGAGGAACAUGUGGUUUAAUUCGAUGAUACGCGAGGAACCUUACCCGGGCUCAAACGCACAGUGACUGUCUGUGAAAGCAGAUUUUCCCUUCGGGGACAGUGUGCGAGGUGCUGCAUGGUUGUCGUCAGCUCGUGCCGUGAGGUGUCGGCUUAAGUGCCAUAACGAGCGCAACCCCUAUCGACAGUUGCUAACAGGUGAAGCUGAGGACUCUGUCGAGACUGCCGGCGCAAGCUGUGAGGAAGGCGGGGAUGACGUCAAUCAGGCACGGCCUUACGUCCGGGGCGACACACGUGUUACAAUGGCAGGUACAGACGGGAAGCCAUGCGGCGACGCAGAGCAGAACCCGAAAACCUGUCUCAGUCGGAUUGGAGUCUGCAACCCGACUCCAUGAAGCUGGAUUCGCUAGUAAUCGCGCAUCAGCCACGGCGCGGUGAAUACGUUCCCGGGCCUUGUACACACCGCCCGUCAAGCCAUGGAAGCCGGGAGUGCCUGAAGUACGCGACCGCAAGGAGCGUCCUAAGGUAAAACCGGUGACUGGGGC